rfam:Methanohalobium evestigatum Z-7303, complete genome.
GCCGCCGUGGCUUAGUGGCAGAGCGGCUGAUUCGUAAUCAGCAAGUCGGGGGUUCGAAUCCCCCCGGCGGCU